CCUACGGGGUGCAGCAGUGGGGAAUAUUGCACAAUGGGCGCAAGCCUGAUGCAGCCAUGCCGCGUGUGUGAAGAAGGCCUUCGGGUUGUAAAGCACUUUCAGCGGGGAGGAAGGCGGUGAGGUUAAUAACCUCAUCGAUUGACAUUACCCGCAGAAGAAGCACCGGCUAACUCCGUGCCAGCAGCCGCGGUAAUACGGAGGGUGCAAGCGUUAAUCGGAAUUACUGGGCGUAAAGCGCACGCAGGCGGUCUGUCAAGUCGGAUGUGAAAUCCCCGGGCUCAACCUGGGAACUGCAUUCGAAACUGGCAGGCUAGAGUCUUGUAGAGGGGGGUAGAAUUCCAGGUGUAGCGGUGAAAUGCGUAGAGAUCUGGAGGAAUACCGGUGGCGAAGGCGGCCCCCUGGACAAAGACUGACGCUCAGGUGCGAAAGCGUGGGGAGCAAACAGGAUUAGAUACCCUAGUAGUC
rnacentral:rRNA from 1 species